rnacentral:rRNA from 1 species
AGUGAACGCUGGCGGCGUGCCUAAUACAUGCAAGUCGAACGGAGUGGCGCACGGGGGAGAAUAAUAUAGCUAAUCUGCCCUUUGCUGGAGGACAACAGAUAGAAAUGACUGCUAAUAACCUAUAGCAAGGGAUGAGACUACAUCGUAUCAGCUAGUCGGUGGGGUAUAGGCCUACCGAGGCUAUGACGCGUAACUGGUCUGAGAGGAUGAUCAGUAACAUUGGACCUGAGGCACGGUCCAGACACCUACGGGAAGGAGCAGUAGGGAAUAGCACGCAAGGGGGGAAACCCUAGAGCAGCAACGCCGCGUAGAGGAUGACACUUUUCGGAGCGUAAACUCCGUUUAUUAGGGAUGCGGUACCUAACGAAUAAGCACCGGCUAACUCCGUGCCAGCAGCCGCGGUAAUUC